AACAAUGGACCAUUUGCAUUAUAGACCAAAUUUUGAUCUAGACAAAAAUUUCAUAAUAGCUUGAAAGAGCAUCACAAAAUUAGUAAUAUUCCAAAGUUUCGUUGCGAAAUAUUGUAAAAUGCGGAUAAUGUAGCCAUGCGAAGUUUGCCGUUUUUCAGUCAUUUUGAAUUACGCACGGGAAAUUGACAGCCCAAUCGGGUGUUGGGGCAUCAAUUUCCCGUUUGUAAUACAAAAUGACUGAAAAUUGCAAAUUUCGCAGGGCUAUAUUAUUCGCAUUUUACAACAUUUCGCAAGGAAACUUUGGAAUAUUACUAGUUUUGUGAUGCUCUUUCAAGCUGUGAUGAAAUUUUUGUUUAGAUCAAAAUUUAGUCUAUAAUGCAAAUGGUCC